rnacentral:rRNA from 1 species
UAGAGUUUGAUCCUGGCUCAGAUUGAACGCUGGCGGCAUGCCUUACACAUGCAAGUCGAACGGCAGCAUAGGAGCUUGCUCCUGAUGGCGAGUGGCGAACGGGUGAGUAAUAUAUCGGAACGUGCCCUAGAGUGGGGGAUAACUAGUCGAAAGAUUAGCUAAUACCGCAUACGAUCUACGGAUGAAAGUGGGGGAUCGCAAGACCUCAUGCUCAUGGAGCGGCCGAUAUCUGAUUAGCUAGUUGGUGGGGUAAAAGCUCACCAAGGCGACGAUCAGUAGCUGGUCUGAGAGGACGACCAGCCACACUGGGACUGAGACACGGCCCAGACUCCUACGGGAGGCAGCAGUGGGGAAUUUUGGACAAUGGGCGCAAGCCUGAUCCAGCCAUACCGCGUGGGUGAAGAAGGCCUUCGGGUUGUAAAGCUCUUUUGUCAGGGAAGAAACGGUUGCAGCUAAUAUCUGCGACUAAUGACGGUACCUGAAGAAUAAGCACCGGCUAACUACGUGCCAGCAGCCGCGGUAAUACGUAGGGUGCAAGCGUUAAUCGGAAUUACUGGGCGUAAAGCGUGCGCAGGCGGUUGUGUAAGUCAGAUGUGAAAUCCCCGGGCUCAACCUGGGAAUUGCAUUUGAGACUGCACGGCUAGAGUGUGUCAGAGGGGGGUAGAAUUCCACGUGUAGCAGUGAAAUGCGUAGAUAUGUGGAGGAAUACCGAUGGCGAAGGCAGCCCCCUGGGAUAACACUGACGCUCAUGCACGAAAGCGUGGGGAGCAAACAGGAUUAGAUACCCUGGUAGUCCACGCCCUAAACGAUGUCUACUAGUUGUCGGGUCUUAAUUGACUUGGUAACGCAGCUAACGCGUGAAGUAGACCGCCUGGGGAGUACGGUCGCAAGAUUAAAACUCAAAGGAAUUGACGGGGACCCGCACAAGCGGUGGAUGAUGUGGAUUAAUUCGAUGCAACGCGAAAAACCUUACCUACCCUUGACAUGGAUGGAAUCCUGAAGAGAUUUAGGAGUGCUCGAAAGAGAACCAUCACACAGGUGCUGCAUGGCUGUCGUCAGCUCGUGUCGUGAGAUGUUGGGUUAAGUCCCGCAACGAGCGCAACCCUUGUCAUUAGUUGCUACGAAAGGGCACUCUAAUGAGACUGCCGGUGACAAACCGGAGGAAGGUGGGAAUGACGUCAAGUCCUCAUGGCCCUUAUGGGUAGGGCUUCACACGUCAUACAAUGGUACAUACAGAGGGCCGCCAACCCGCGAGGGGGAGCUAAUCCCAGAAAGUGUAUCGUAGUCCGGAUUGGAGUCUGCAACUCGACUCCAUGAAGUUGGAAUCGCUAGUAAUCGCGGAUCAGCAUGUCGCGGUGAAUACGUUCCCGGGUCUUGUACACACCGCCCGUCACACCAUGGGAGUGGGUUGCACCAGAAGUAGCUAGUCUAACCUUCGGGAGGACGGUUACCACGGUGUGAUUCAUGACUGGGGUGAAGUCGUAACAAGGUAACCA